ACCCCGUGUGCUUUCCCCUUUCGGGGGGUUGGUGGGGUGUGGGAGUGGCGGACGGGUGAGUAACACGUGAGUAACCUGCCCUGGGCGUGGGGAUAACCCUGGGAAACUGGGGCUAAUACCGGAUGGCUCGCAUCUCUCGCAUGGGGGGUGUGGGAAAGGUUCUCUCCUGUGAGGGGGGGUUCCGGCCUGGGAGGGGCUCGCGGCCCAUCAGCUUGUUGGUGCGGUGAGGGCGUACCAAGGCGAUGACGGGUAGCCGGCCUGAGAGGGUGAUCGGCCACACUGGGACUGAGACACGGCCCAGACUCCUACGGGAGGCAGCAGUGGGGAAUUUUGCGCAAUGGGCGGAAGCCUGACGCAGCGACGCCGUGUGGGGGAGGACGGCCUUCGGGUUGUAAACCCCUUUCGGCCCUGACGAAUGUGACGGUAGGGGCUAAAGAAGCGCCGGCUAACUACGUGCCAGCAGCCGCGGUAAUACGUAGGGCGCGAGCGUUGUCCGGAUUUACUGGGCGUAAAGGGCUCGUAGGCGGUUUGUCGCGUCGGUCGUGGAAAUGUGCGGCUUAACCGGGCACGUGCGGCCGAUACGGGCAGACUCGAGGGCGGUAGGGGCAAGCGGAAUUCCUGGUGUAGCGGUGAAAUGCGCAGAUAUCAGGAGGAACACCGAUGGCGAAGGCAGCUUGCUGGGCCGUUCCUGACGCUGAGGAGCGAAAGCAUGGGGAGCGAACAGGAUUAGAUACCCUGGUAGUCCAUGCU
rnacentral:rRNA from 1 species